rnacentral:misc_RNA from 1 species
GGAGUGUGUUUAUUUCAAGAAGGGUGGAAGCAUUCAGAAAAGAGACGUGGAGUAGAAAAGAUGGAUAAGAAAACGAUAGAAGAUGGGUGAUGGAGAGACAGAACGAACCUGGUUGUGUGCUGCAGAAAAACAUUCCCCCUUAUGUAGAAGGUUGUCUGUCUGAUCUAAAGCAACAUUUAUUCCUUUCUUUAAUUAUUUUAAUUUGAUUUGGUGUACAUGAGAUCAUGGUAAAUAUCACUUGCAUUAUUGGAUCAACAGUGGAGAUAUGUAGAUGAAAUAAAAUUUAAAAAAUGUAGUCUAAUUAAGGUUGUCUGCUAUGAUUUACGCUUGCAUUUACAUGUGUAUGUGUCACAGACAGGCAGAUGCACAUUCUUCAUAAAUAAAGUUAAAGAAUAAAGAAAACUACUCAAGUCGUUAUUGCAUCUGCUUCAACCUAUGAUUUGGUUAUGGAAACCCAGUAGAGAAAUCUUUCAUGAUUGAUACAUUGCUAAUUUACCUUUCUUCUGUGUUCAGUUGUAAUAGACGACUAGAAAUGAAAAUGUGAUUAAUGAUUUGAUAUCUCUAGCUUCCUCUUGUUUCCGUGUUAUGGAAACAUUAAUAAGAUUGUG